rnacentral:rRNA from 1 species
ACUUGCUUUCUUUGCCGGCGACCGGCGCACGGGUGAGUAACACGUAUCCAACCUGCCCUUUACUCGGGGAUAGCCUUUCGAAAGAAAGAUUAAUACCCGAUGGCAUAAUGAUUCCGCAUGGUUUCAUUAUUAAAGGAUUCCGGUAAAGGAUGGGGAUGCGUUCCAUUAGGUUGUUGGUGAGGUAACGGCCCACCAAGCCUUCGAUGGAUAGGGGUUCUGAGAGGAAGGUCCCCCACAUUGGAACUGAGACACGGUCCAAACUCCUACGGAGGCAGCAUG